rnacentral:lncRNA from 1 species
CUCCGCCCUGGAGACGGGAAAAGCGCCCGGAGCUCGGGAAAGGCCGCGGGGGAACCGCCGGGACAGCGGGUCCUGCCCCUCUGCUCCGCCCUGGAGAGGCCGCGGCUGCGGUGCUGUGCCCAGCUCGGGGCUCCGGGAGUUCCAGAGCCCAUGGCAGUGGCUGCCUUUGAGGGCUUUGCACAAGAUCAGGAUAAUUUGGGAAACUUUCCUGGUGUUUAACUGAUGUCCUGACCUGUCUCAACGAAUCUAUUUCAGGUCGCAGGAAGACGGAUUCUUCAGGCACUUUCCCCACCACAGGCUGCGGAUCCCAAGGCCAUUGAACCCUCUGGGACCUGGACACUGGAGCUCCCGUCCUGCCUUCUCCCUUAUCUCUGUGUUUGGCAGGUGUCUGGCCAUGGAUUUCACACUUCCACUGACCUCUGAGCGCUGCCAAGGCGAGGGAGGCACAUCGGGCAGAUAACGUCCCCAUUCCACCUCCACCUCCCCAAGGCCCUUAGGCUCUGGGGAGACUUAUUUAAAAAUAUGCCAGAUUUAAGGUCUGUCUCAAGGCAAAUAAAAACUGUGGAUUGUUUAAAUCA